rnacentral:rRNA from 1 species
AGAGAUGCGAAAGUCCGCAAGGAUCCGAAACAAGGUGCUGCAUGGCUGUCGUCAGCUCGUGUCGUGAGAUGUUGGGUUAAGUUCCCGCAACGAGCGCAACCCUUAUUGUUAGUUACCAUCAUUAAGCUGGGGGACUCUAACAAGACUGCCGGCGUAAGCCGAGAGGAAGGAGGGGACGACGUCAAGUCAUCAUGGCCCUUACGCCCAGGGCUACACACGUGCUACAAUGGACGGUACAAAGAGCAGCCAACCUGCGAAGGUGCGCGAAUCUCAAAAAGCCGUUCUCAGUUCGGAUUGGAGUCUGCAACUCGACUCCAUGAAGUUGGAAUCGCUAGUAAUCGCAGAUCAGCUAUGUUGCGGUGAAUACGUUCCCGGGCCUUGUACACACCGCCCGUCAAGCCAUGAAAGCUGAGGGUGCCUGAAGUUGGGAUAACCCACCUAGGCAAAUCGGUAAUUGGGGC